rnacentral:rRNA from 1 species
UAGGGAAUCUUCCACAGUGGGCGCAAGCCUGAUGGAGCAACACCGCGUGAGUGAAGAAGGGUUUCGGCUCGUAAAGCUCUGUUGUUAAAGAAGAACACGUAUGAGAGUAACUGUUCAUACGUUGACGGUAUUUAACCAGAAAGUCACGGCUAACUACGUGUCAG